CGUCCCACUCUCAUGCUCAGUGUCCUUGCACCUGCACACACUGAAGCAAAUAGCACUGAAGUAAAAAAAAAUUGCACUCACCACUCUGCUUCUCCCUUGACUCCCUGGAUCUUCCCCAACGCCGGCAACUGGACACCCGAUCCGUGACCGGAGACCAAUCGACGCCGUAGUACUGCUCCCCCACCCCCGUCCCUCAUCCCUGUGACAUCCCCAUCCCUCCUCUCGGCUCCAGCUCUCCCCCAUCUUGCCUCCCGUGUGACCGACGGCUCCACAUCAACGACCACCUCCGGCCGGUGACCCAGGACUGGGAGGUGCUCGAUCUCUUCAUGCUCAUGGUCGAUCCAGUGCUAUGCGCUAUCAGAGGUGGACGCGGAGGCACAGGGCAUCUCUACACUUGAACGGCGGCCGCGGUCAUCGCACACUGGAGGACUGAAGUGCACCGGCCACCAAGAAUACAAGGCUCGCAGCUCAAUCCAGUAAUAAAAUAAAGCAACAGAAUCAGAGCAAGUGAAAAUCCAUGCUGAUUUGCUGCCAGCAAGAUAAAACUCAUGCAGCCAAUGAAGUGUUCCUCCUGGAGGGGAAGGUGGUAAAAAUCAAGGUGGCUAAGACAAAUAUCCCAGCGGCAAGUUGUUGAGGAGCUCUUUGGUGUCGGCACCGGCAUGCGGGAAGAAGCAAUCUGGGCAGACAUUGAUGAUUAUCUACUGGUGGAAGCAUACCAAACGUUUGUUUCUGGAUGGGCGAGUUGUAUUCAGAAAGCAAUCACAACCUGUAAUGCCACUCAAGGAUCCAACAUCUGAUAUGGCUAUCAUUGCACGCAAAGGUUAUAUUUUGGUACAGGAAAUUCAUGAAAAGCAGAUCCAACGUUUUUUGGAGGUUGUUGUUUAUAGUAUUGGAAAUAUAUUAGGUGUUGAGAAAACGACAGAAAGCUACUGGCUCCGUUGGCUCAUAUAUUCCAUGUGGAUCUGACUCCUCAUCAUGGGCUGUUGGCGUGUGAUGGUUGAACUUGAUUGGAAGGUGUACAUGGUGAUCUUUGGCUUGAACCGCUGGCCUCCCUCACAAUGCCAGAUUGGUCUGAUAAGGGUAAGGAACUUCGUCUCCCCAUCUUGUAAGCACGAUUUCUCUGCAAGACAACAUCUUUCUCCUCCGUUGUCAUUCCCGAGUAUGAUUCCCUUUUACGACGCCGUUCCUUUUCAGAAUAUGCUUCUGAAAUAAAUAACAAAUGAAAAUCAUAAUGUGAAUGUCAAGUCGAAAGUAUACAUCCUGAAGUCGGGAGAAAUUAAUCCGUAUUGCCAGGUUAGUUUUGGUAUACCUCUCAUUUCGACGGAGGGACCAUAGAUAUAAGAUGUGGGGGUAACCUGCAUUCCAUUGGUCCCUGCCAGGUUUCCAAUGUGAGGCACAUCCGUCGAAUGUCGUUGGUAAGUCAUAUUCGUAUGCAACCAGUCAUUGCUAUGAUGUUCGUCAACAGCAGUCCUGCUGCAUUGCGUGCCUUGCAGUUGGUUCAUCCCGUAUUGAUCCGGUAGAACCUGGCUAAUACCUAGAAAGAUGCACAAACGCUUGUGCUGACAUGCACUUGCACAUGAAAGGUACAUAUGCUGACAUGCACUUGCAUAUCCUAAAGAGUUCAAUAGGCAGAGGGAUAAAGAGUGGUAUGUAAAAAUAAACAUGUAAGUAAUCUGCUCCAACUCUUUCUGUUUUUUGUAUGGAUGUGGUUUCUAAUCUAGGUCCAAUACGCUUGGUGUAAAUUAAAGGCUCUAUUUGGUAUUUUCUAAUUAAAGCUGCAAUACUCUCAAGUCGGUUGGUCAGGGUUUUCAUGUUUUCAUUAAUGGAUAAAUAAUAGGUAAUCAUGAGAGUCUGUAACUGUUUGCCAAGUAAUUGUAUCUCAUUCUGGUUACUGGAACUGUGUAUGGAUCUGUAAAAAACCUAAAACUUGCAUAUAAUGGGAAUGUGGAACUAUGGGCAAGGAACAAAACUAUUUCCUUCUUAAGUAUAACACUUGGUCUCUCAGUAAGUUAAUAAUUUGCUCACUAAGACAUUACUAUUGAUCAUCUUAUAUUUGAGCUUUGAUGUCCUCAUUUUUAUUCCUCUCUCUAUCAUAGAAUGUUGGAAAAUAUUUCAAUACUUCGAAUGGUAGAAAUCUUGAUCCGGUGACACUUUAUGGCCUGAAUGAGGGAAGAAGAGAUCUCACAUGGCAGAAAUGAACUUAUCAGGUGAGGGUUGGUAAUCAAAUUCGUCAGAUUACACGUGUGCAUCUUUGCUGACAUGCACUUCCACAUGAAAGGUACAUAUGUGAUCAUAUUUAUUACCAGGUAAAGUAGACGAUGGGGUACAUGUCUGUGCUGCUUUCUUCUGUUCGCGAGCCAUACGAAGUUUCAUCAGAUAUGCUGCUUUCUUCUCGUGGGAUAGACUUGCAUACCAACUGACUUUUUUUCUUACGACAUUAGGUUGAUCUGGUUGAGCUUUGUUAGUACCAGGACUUCCAGCCAUGCUCCCCACAUCUGGCAACAUGAAUAUAUGUAGUUGGAUCUUGAACAUUAGAGAAGACAAAUGCAUAAUCUGUGAUUAGGAAAGUUGAACAAGACAGUAGGAUCUCAAAGUGUUCUUACAACGUAAAUUCUGUGUGCCAGAUGAUUCUGUAACUUCGUCACUGACGCCAUCAGAUGCAACUUUAUUCUGGAGACCGUUUAUUCCUCCCGUCCAUAUGUACUCCAUGUUGAUGAUGAUCAAUGAUUGCUGAGGCACCAACUGCACGUAGUGAACCAGAGUGUGCAUGCUUCUUGGUCAUGGUCAAGAGUAGUCAUGUUUGAAUACUUCUUCUGCUGGCGGGCUAUACGGCGCUUUUGGAGGAUGCAGGUGAAGUCGCGGCGGCGACGUGCUGACCCUGAGAGGGAGACUCGAUCCCAGGUGACAGGUGUGGGGGAGGCGCAGUCGCAGAGAGAGAAGAGAGCCUCGGCAAGGUGUAAGCAGGGGUAGCCGGCGGUGAUGAGCCGGUGUGCAGGAGCCCCGGCGGUGAUGAGUCAGUGUGCAGGAUCCAGCCUGUGUGCUGCAGCACAGACGCCGGAGAACGGCGGCUAUUUCGCGAAGGUAGACAGCCGCGGCAAGGCGUGAGCAGGAGUAGCGCGGCCGUGUUGCCGAUGUGCCGGCGGCAGCGUGUGGAGAACGGCGGCUAUGGCUAUUUUGCGAAGGUAGACAGCCGCGGCAAGGCAUGAGCAGGAGUAGCGCGGCCGUGUUGCUGGUGUGCCGGAGGCAGCGUGUGUGUUGCAGCAGCGAUCGCGGGAGAAGGGUAGUUUUCUCCCCAAGGUGGAGCUGUGAACUGCUGCCCACGCGUGGAAGAACGUGAGUUAUGUUGUUUUUUUUAUGGAAUAAUCGGUAGCUUUUGAUGAGAGAUCGUUUGGUGGAGAUGUUUAGAGCUUAACAUUGGAGCAUCGUGGGGCGUUGGAUGUACUCUUUGAACGGCUGAUAUAGUUUGGAU